AUUGAACGCUGGCGGCAGGCCUAACACAUGCAAGUCGAGCGAGCGGCGGACGGGUGAGUAAUGUAUGGGGACUGCCCGAUAGAGGGGGAUAACUACUGGAAACGGUAGUUAAUACCGCAUACUAUCGGAUAACCCAUAUGGGAUUAGCUAGUCGGUGAGGUAAUGGCUCACCUAGGCGUCGAUCCCUAGCUGGUCUGAGCGGAUGAUCAGCCGCACGGGGGCUGAGACACGGCCCAGACGCCGACGGAGUGAGCGUUGAGGAAUAUUGCACAAUGGGCGCAAGCCUGAUGCAGCCAUGCCGCGUGUAUGAAGAAGGCCCUAGGGUUGUAAAGUAGUUUCAGUCGGGAGGCGUUACCGACAGAAGAAGCGCCGGCUAACUCCGUGCCAGCAGCCGCGGUAAUUC
rnacentral:rRNA from 1 species